rnacentral:rRNA from 1 species
AGUGAACGCUGGCGGUAGGCCUAACACAUGCAAGUCGAACGGCAGCACAGUAAGAGCUUGCUCUUACGGGUGGCGAGUGGCGGACGGGUGAGGAAUACAUCGGAAUCUACUUUUUCGUGGGGGAUAACGUAGGGAAACUUACGCUAAUACCGCAUACGACCUACGGGUGAAAGCAGUGGAUCUUCGGACCUUGCGCGAUUGAAUGAGCCGAUGUCGGAUUAGCUAGUUGGCGGGGUAAAGGCCCACCAAGGCGACGAUCCGUAGCUGGUCUGAGAGGAUGAUCAGCCACACUGGAACUGAGACACGGUCCAGACUCCUACGGGAGGCAGCAGUGGGGAAUAUUGGACAAUGGGCGCAAGCAUGAUCCAGCCAUACCGAGUGGGUGAAGAAGGCCUUCGGGUUGUAAAGCCCUUUUGUUGGGAAAGAAAAGCAGCAGGUUAAUACCCCGCUGUUCUGACGGUACCCAAAGAAUAAGCACCGGCUAACUUCGUG